rnacentral:tRNA from 1 species
ACCCGGGUGGCUUAGUCGGUUAAGCGUCUGGCUUCUGCUCAGGUCAUGAUCGCGUGGUUCGUGGGUUCAAGCCCCACAUUGGGCU